ensembl:lncRNA
ACCAGGCAAAUUGACGUUGAACCUUCUUCCGCUUCCAGCUCCGCCUCUACCAAAAAGCGGGCAGUUGCUAUGGCAACCUGAUGACGCUCUGAGGAAGGACGAGAGGGAGAAAGGGGGGAGGAGGGGUGUAUGGAGAUGAGGAGGAAGGUAGCUGCACCAAAGAUUGUGUGUCUUUCAGUCGAUGACUCACUCGGCUGAUAUUUCUUACAGUUGCAGUCGUUGAUUGUGCUCCACACAGAGGUUCAGUUGCUUAAUUAUGUUGGAGAUUGGUGAAUUUGCGUCCCAGGCGGGUGUCCUAGGUGUUGGUGUCGUGGGGCUGACCUAUGGAUUUUGGUUCUAACGAUGCUUUACGAGAUCAUGGCGUAAGGAUACACAAAGUUAAAAUAAUGAUUAACUAUCUAUAAACAGGUCAGGCAGAACUCAGAAGUAAUCAUGUGCAUAGGAGAUGUCCCCUCCAUCCUCCAUCUAUAAUUGCUCCUACACCCUUGCACGUCUCUUUGCAUCUUCACAAGCCUGCUGUUGCCAUAGCGACCACUGUGUAGAGAGUCAACUUACUGAAAAAAAAAAUCCAAAUUUUACCUUUAGAAAAAUGUAAAAGCAUGUAUGAGCCUUACAUGGAUUGCAUGGAUAGAACAGCAGCUACCCUUGAGUUUUGCUGUUCCACAUUGUGCAACUGUUUGCCUUGAAUGAUUAUUUCAUUUCAGUUGUCUGGAAAGCAAUGCUAUAUGCACUAAAAAAACACACUAAUAAAUAAUUUAUGUAAUUUAGAACAUUAGUUAGUAGUCUGAUUUAGUGUAUUUUGGUGGUAGGAUAGUGUUUGUUGUGUGAAUAUCCCAAAAUAUACAUAAAUAAAAUAUAUAUAAAGAA